rnacentral:snoRNA from 1 species
UUGCACUUGUAUCAUAGGCCUCUCUAAUUCUUGUAGGGAGGUCUUGAGCUAGGUGCAUAAAGAAAAAGCUGUUCAAUCAGCAGCGGCCAGACAACCGUAAAGAUGAAUCCACAGGUGAUUGGCUUAUUUUGCCAUUCAGCUACUGAUUUCAUCUUACAUCA